AGUCAAAGACGAAAGCACCUUUCCUUCUCUUCUUCUCAUUUCGUUUUGAAGGCCAUUUUUUUUUAGUUAACAUGUUACAGUGUAACAGCAUUGAGAGGGGGCUAAUUUGAUAAGUAACAGGUUUGGUGUUGAGGUCAUGGAACUCGAAAUCAGAUUAGGGGCAGGGGUAUUUGACACUUUGUUUUGGUGUGUUUGGUUUUGUGCGUGUGUGUUGAUGAGGCGAUGGGGGUUAGAUGGUUGAGGUGGUUGUGGGUUCUGGUAGAUGUUUCUGAAUGCGUGAAUGGUGGCGUGAGGAUGAUUGUUGUUUUUCAAUGAGGAAGCUGGAAAAAUGAUGAGUAAGGUUGAGAAAAAUGGGUUGGUUCAAAGGGUGAAGGAGAGGAGUUGAGAGAAGUGAGGU
rnacentral:lncRNA from 1 species